CCGCGGCCGGAAGUGCUGGGGGCGCGCGGGGGUCUCGGAGGCGGGGACAAAGACCCGGAGCGGCGGCGACGCCGCCCUGUGGCAGGAAGAGGCGUGCGCCCGGGUCCCGCCGUGGGAGUCCAGGUCGCACCGGGCUGGCUCCAGAGAUGCUAUCCCCAAAUGGGCCUCUGGAGGACAAAUCUUUUGGUGAACAUUCAUUCCUGAGGUACCCCAGGCUUAGAGGACCCACAGACUCUGGAAUCCAUAUUACAGCAUUUGUUUCAGUGGAUUGGGAUCAACUGCUUGAAUAUUUACCCUCCAGAUCAGUGUUCUUACAGGAGGGAUACUGCUCCCUAAGGAAUGUUUUGAGCUAUAUGGGUGUUUUAUGGAUGCAAUGACAAGAGGGUACUAUUUCCACUUAGUGCCUGGGUUUUGGGGAUGCUGAUGUUCUGUAAUGCUGGGACAAUCCUGCCGAGUGAAGAAUGUCUCAUGUCCUGCAGGAUCUUGAGGAGAUCAAUCAGAUACUCCUGUAGGAAACAAACCUGUUUAUAAUGACCUGAGUUUGGAACCCAACUCUGUUUUAUAAAUAAACUCCUUUUUGUGUGAUCUUAACUUGUUCAAUUGUCCAGGAAUACAAAUCAAGGGAAGAAUAAAAUUUACUUUGUUCAAAACUUUAACAAGACUUGAUCACCAUUUUGGAGGUAACAUCGGAGAUGGCAACAUGACUUGUGACUGAGAAAGAAGAAAUUAACCCAGAUGCCUGUGGCAACUAAGAAUUUUGCUUGACCUGGCCUGGCGCAGUGGCUCAUACCUGUAAUCCCAACACUUUGGGAGGCUGAGGCAGGAGGACUGCUUGAGCCCAGGAGUUCCAGACUAGCCUGAGCAACAUAGCAAGACCCUAUCUCUACAAAAAAUUAGAAAGUUAGCUGGGAAUGGUGGCUCAUGACUGCAUUCCCAGCUACUCGGGAGGCUGAAGUAGGAUGAUUGCUUGACCCUGUCUCAAAAAAAAAAAAAAAGAAAAAAAAAAAGAAUUUUGCUUGACGCCAUACAGCACACCUGUAUUCAUCUGCAUUUGUGAAUGUCACCAUCACUGUGAUUCAUGGUCUAUUAAGAUCUACUUUUUUAGCUCUUAUUUUUAAAUGUCAAAGAUAAAAACUGUGGCCUGAAUAUUAUCAUACCUCUCUCAAAUCCAAACUUACUUGUUAAAAGUAGAUGCAAGCAUGUGACCGCUUUAUAAUGUCUUUUAGAGUAUUAGGCCUGAGCAUUUAUGUAUUGAAACACAUUAUUUUAUUACAGUAUUCCUUUUAUUUCUCUUUCAUAUUACAGUAGCAGCAUUAUAUUGAUUUUGUUUUUUCAUUACGUGUAUAAGUGGUUUAGAUUAUCCAUGAAUUUCAUUUCAGGAUGGCAAAGAGGAUAUUCAAAAUAUUUGUUAUAAAAAGGGAGCAUCUGGCAGCAUUGAGAACCACUCUAAGGUUCAGGAGGCAGGGACUUCACCUCCCCUGGGUCACUCCAUUCUUCUUUGUGUCUAGCAUAGGGUCUGGAAUAUCACAGAUGCAUAGAGAAUCUUUUUUGAAUGAGUGAUGAAGGAAUUGAGGCUGAUACUCUGGUUUGGUUACCACCUAGGUAGGUGAUGAGGCCCUCUGCUGAGAUGGGAACACAGGAGAGAGGGCAGGUUUUGGAGAGAGUAAUGAGUUCAGUUUUCAUUGUGAAAGUUUGGAGAGCCCUGAGAUUUCUAGGUGGCGGGGCCUGAGGGCCAGUGGCUCUGUGGGCCUUGAUUUCUCUCUCAAGGCCACGGAAGAGUGGAAAUGCAAAGUCAUAGUAACAAUUCAUCUUUUUAAUCAGUAAUCAUUGCUGAGUCUCUCCAUGCAGUAUGAAUAGACCAGUGAGAGCUGCCCUGAGUGUCUCCCUGCUCCUGUGGCGAUCUGUGUACCUGCCCAGACCCUCAGAGGCUAGGAACUCCCUCCAAGUUAGGGGAUAGAAAUGCUUCAUCUCUAGCCCCUCUGACUUCCUGUCCAAUCCUGACAUAGUAGGUGGCUCAGCAAUGACGGCUGGAGGGACCACACAGUAAAACCCAUCUGUGGAAACACGAGUAUUCAGGGUAACUUUUUUUGGCCUGAAGUCACUGCAGUGGAACAUUUGGGAGUGAGUUUCCUCAGGGCCCAGCUCCUUCCCGCUAGGCUCUGCCAUGUCUCCUGUUUAUUAACAGGGAGGUAUGACAAAGGGAAAAAUCUCUUGAUUGAAGACUCAUCUCAGACAUCUUUUCACUCCUCCAGGGAAGCGUGCAAUUUUGGGCUUUAAUGACGUAUGACGGGGCACGGGCAGUGGAGGUGGUGUGCAUUUUAGGUAAUACAUGUGCUGCUAGAAAGUUGAGGUAUAAGGACUUUUUAGGAACACAAUUUUUAUUGACAAGUAACAUUUCAAGAACAAUAAAGGAAAUCAGAAA